rnacentral:rRNA from 1 species
AUAUGGAGGAACACCAGUGGCGAAGGCGACUUUCUGGUCUGUAACUGACGCUGAUGUGCGAAAGCGUGGGGAUCAAACAGGAUUAGAUACCCUGGUAGUCCACGCCGUAAACGAUGUGUGCUAAGUGCUAGGGGGUUUCCCCUCCUUAGUGCCGCAGAUAAUGCACUAAGCACUCCGCCUGGGGAGUACGACCGCAAGGUUGAAACUCAAAGGAAUUGAAGGGGACCCGCACAAGCGGUGGAGCAUGUGGUUUAAUUCGAAGCAACGCGAAGAACCUUAACAAAUCUUGACAUCCUUUGACCACUCUAGAGAUAGAGUUUUCCCCUUCGGGGGACAAAGUGACAGGUGGUGCAUGGUUGUCGUCAGCUCGUGUCGUGAGAUGUUGGGUUAAGUCCCGCAACGAGCGCAACCCUUAAGCUUAGUUGCCAUCAUUAAGUUGGGCACUCUAAGUUGACUGCCGGUGACAAACCGGAGGAAGGUGGGGAUGACGUCAAAUCAUCAUGCCCCUUAUGAUUUGGGCUACACACGUGCUACAAUGGACAAUACAAAGGGCAGCUAAACCGCGAGGUCAAGCAAAUCCCAUAAAGUUGUUCUCAGUUCGGAUUGUAGUCUGCAACUCGACUACAUGAAGCUGGAAUCGCUAGUAAUCGUAGAUCAGCAUGCUACGGUGAAUACGUUCCCGGGUCUUGUACACACCGCCCGUCACACCACGAGAGUUUGUAACACCCGAAGCCGGUGGAGUAACCAUUUAUGGAGCUAGCCGUCGAAGG